UUUGGUGAUGAUGGCAGAGAGGUCACACCCGUUCCCAUACCGAACACGGAAGUUAAGCUCUCUAGCGCCGAUGGUAGUUGGGACCUUGUCCCUGUGAGAGUAGGAUGUUGCCAGGC
rnacentral:rRNA from 1 species